rnacentral:rRNA from 1 species
GAACGCUGGCGGCAGGCCUAACACAUGCAAGUCGAACGGUAACAGGAAGCAGCUUGCUGUUUUGCUGACGAGUGGCGGACGGGUGAGUAAUGUCUGGGAAACUGCCUGAUGGAGGGGGGAUAACUACUGGAAACGGUAGCUAAUACCGCAUAACGUCGCAAGACCAAAGAGGGGGACCUUAGGGCCUCUUGCCAUCGGAUGUGCCCAGAUGGGAUUAGCUAGUAGGUGGGGUAACGGCUCACCUAGGCGACGAUCCCUAGCUGGUCUGAGAGGAUGACCAGCCACACUGGAACUGAGACACGGUCCAGACUCCUACGGGAGGCAGCAGUGGGGAAUAUUGCACAAUGGGCGCAAGCCUGAUGCAGCCAUGCCGCGUGUAUGAAGAAGGCCUUCGGGUUGUAAAGUACUUUCAGCGGGGAGGAAGGGAGUAAAGUUAAUACCUUUGCUCAUUGACGUUACCCGCAGAAGAAGCACCGGCUAACUCCGUGCCAGCAGCCGCGGUAAUACGGAGGGUGCAAGCGUUAAUCGGAAUUACUGGGCGUAAAGCGCACGCAGGCGGUUUGUUAAGUCAGAUGUGAAAUCCCCGGGCUCAACCUGGGAACUGCAUCUGAUACUGGCAAGCUUGAGUCUCGUAGAGGGGGGUAGAAUUCCAGGUGUAGCGGUGAAAUGCGUAGAGAUCUGGAGGAAUACCGGUGGCGAAGGCGGCCCCCUGGACGAAGACUGACGCUCAGGUGGCGAAAGCGUGGGGGAGCAAACAGGAUUAGAUACCCUGGUAGUCCACGCCGUAAACGAUGUCGACUUGGAGGUUGUGCCCUUGAGGCGUGGCUUCCGGAGCUAACGCGUUAAGUCGACCGCCUGGGGAGUACGGCCGCAAGGUUAAAACUCAAAUGAAUUGACGGGGGCCCGCACAAGCGGUGGAGCAUGUGGUUUAAUUCGAUGCAACGCGAAGAACCUUACCUGGUCUUGACAUCCACGGAAGUUUUCAGAGAUGAGAAUGUGCCUUCGGGAACCGUGAGACAGGUGCUGCAUGGCUGUCGUCAGCUCGUGUUGUGAAAUGUUGGGUUAAGUCCCGCAACGAGCGCAACCCUUAUCCUUUGUUGCCAGCGGUCCGGCCGGGAACUCAAAGGAGACUGCCAGUGAUAAACUGGAGGAAGGUGGGGAUGACGUCAAGUCAUCAUGGCCCUUACGACCAGGGCUACACACGUGCUACAAUGGCGCAUACAAAGAGAAGCGACCUCGCGAGAGCAAGCGGACCUCAUAAAGUGCGUCGUAGUCCGGAUUGGAGUCUGCAACUCGACUCCAUGAAGUCGGAAUCGCUAGUAAUCGUGGAUCAGAAUGCCACGGUGAAUACGUUCCCGGGCCUUGUACACACCGCCCGUCACACCAUGGGAGUGGGUUGCAAAAGAAGUAGGUAGCUUAACCUUCGGGAGGGCGCUUACCACUUUGUGAUUCAUGACUGGGGU